UACGUAGGGACCAAGCGUUGUUCGGAUUUACUGGGCGUAAAGAGCUCGUAGGCGGUUUGUCGCGUCUGCUGUGAAAACCCGAGGCUCAACCUCGGGCCUGCAGUGGGUACGGGCAGACUAGAGUGCGGUAGGGGAGAUUGGAAUUCCUGGUGUAGCGGUGGAAUGCGCAGAUAUCAGGAGGAACACCGAUGGCGAAGGCAGAUCUCUGGGCCGUAACUGACGCUGAGGAGCGAAAGCAUGGGGAGCGAACAGG
rnacentral:rRNA from 1 species